UCCGGUUUGUCACCGGCAGUCUCCUUAGAGUUCCCAGCAUAACCUGAUGGCAACUAAGGACAAGGGUUGCGCUCGUUACGGGACUUAACCCAACAUCUCACGACACGAGCUGACGACAGCCAUGCAGCACCUGUCACUGAGCUCCCGAAGGCACCAAUCUAUCUCUAGAAAGUUCUCAGGAUGUCAAGAGUAGGUAAGGUUCUUCGCGUUGCGUCGAAUUAAACCACAUGCUCCACCGCUUGUGCGGGCCCCCGUCAAUUCAUUUGAGUUUUAACCUUGCGGCCGUACUCCCCAGGCGGUCUACUUAGUGCGUUAGCUGCGCCACCAAAACCUCAAGGGUCCCGACGGCUAGUAGACAUCGUUUACGGCGUGGACUAC
rnacentral:misc_RNA from 1 species